GCCACAUCACCCGCACCUCUGGGGGUUACAGGAGACUAUCCACAGAAGAGCCCUAGUCGGCUUUAGAAAUAGGUAGGUCACGGUAGAAGAAGAGCAUAUAUAGUAGAUUAAAAGGCUUAAAGGACCACUAUAGUGCCAGGAAAACAUACUCGUUUUCCUGGCACUAUAGUGCCCUGAGGGUGCCCCCACCCUCAGGGUCCCACUCCCGCACAGCUCUGGAAAGGGGAAAAAGGGGUUAAACUUAC